GCCGCGGUAGCUCAAUUGGUAGAGCAUCGCACCCGAAAUGCGAAGGUUGUGGGUUCGGUUCCCACCUGCGGCA
rnacentral:tRNA from 1 species